ACUUAUUUAAUAUAAAAAGUAUAUUUAACUUCCAAUUAAAAAGUCUAUAUUAAACAGAAUAAGUA
rnacentral:tRNA from 1 species